CAAGGAUUCCCCUAGUAACUGCGAGUGAAGCGGGAAAAGCUCAAAUUUAAAAUCUGGCGGUCUUUUGGCUGUCCGAGUUGUAAUCUAGAGAAGUGUUAUCCGCGCUGGACCGUGUACAAGUCUCCUGGAAUGGAGCAUCAUAGAGGGUGAGAAUCCCGUCUUUGACAUGGACUGCCAGGGCUUUGUGAUGCGCUCUCAAAGAGUCGAGUUGUUUGGGAAUGCAGCUCAAAAUGGGUGGUAAAUUCCAUCUAAAGCUAAAUAUUGGCGAGAGACCGAUAGCGAACAAGUACCGUGAGGGAAAGAUGAAAAGAACUUUGGAAAGAGAGUUAAACAGUACGUGAAAUUGCUGAAAGGGAAACGCUUGAAGUCAGUCGCGUCGUCCAGGGAUCAACCUUGCUUUUGCUUGGUGCACUUUCUGGUUCGAUGGGUCAGCAUCAAUUUUGACUGUUGGAAAAAGGUUGAGGGAAUGUGGCAUCUUUGGAUGUGUUUAUAGCCCUUGGUCACAUACAAUGGUUGGGAUUGAGGAACUCAGCACGCCGCAAGGCCGGGUUUUAAACCACGUACGUGCUUAGGAUGCUGGCAAUAUGGCUUUAAUCGACCCGUCUUGAAACACGGACCAAGGAGUCUAACAUGCCUGCGAGUGUUUGGGUGGAAAACCCGAGCGCGUAAUGAAAGUGAAAAGUUGAGAUCCCUGUCGUGGGGAGCAUCGACGCCCGGACCAGACCUUUUGUGACGGUUCCGCGGUAGAGCAUGUAUGUUGGGACCCGAAAGAUGGUGAACUAUGCCUGAAUAGGGUGAAUCCAGAGGAAACUCUGGUGGAGGCUCGUAGCGAUUCUGACGUGCAAAUCGAUCGUCAAAUUUGGGUAUAGGGGC
rnacentral:rRNA from 1 species